CAGGACAGAUCAAGGGAGGACUGAAUCAGCCAGUCGAACAGCUCACUGCGUUCUGGAUGCGUUUGCUCAAAAUUCUCAAAGCCAAGACACCUCCAGGCCUCGAGGCACAAAGAGCACUUCGUCUCCACGGCAGAUAGGUCAGGGUGGCCUCGCCCUGGCAGAGCAGGGGCAGAGAUCAGUGCAGGUGUGUUCAGCGGGGGCAGGGAGGAGGUGUCCCCUGAGAAUGGCAUACACAGCCUGCAUGUGGUUCCCGCAUAAAUGCGACAGGUAUUUGUCUGUCUGUCUCGCGGACAGAUGAACUGAGGGGACACGGCACCCAUGGUCCCUUCUUGAAAAGUCUCCCUACAAGUGAAGUGCACUCGGUGAGCGGAUGAAUCACACGGAAUAAUCCAGGAGGGGAGAAGCUGUGGUCAAGGGCUGAGGCUGAACAUUUAAUCCAUGUAAAUAUGGAACCAAUGGGAAGUGCAGUUAAGAACAGAAUGUGAGUUUUUAAACCCAGAUGGUGUAAAAAUAAUAACAUAGCCCAGAAAAAAUUGGGAGUUGGGGGAGGAGGAAGGGGAUGGAGUGUGGACGUGCCAAUGUCCUCAUCUUCUAAGACAGAGAACUAUUACCUGCUGUGCACAGUCCCCACCCAGUCACAUCCCCUUUGGCUUCCUUCCCUGAUGGCCACCUGGCAUCGGCUUGUUGACCUGGGACUUGCGAAUCACUCGUCUGCUCCCUGCGCUCGUUCCCUAAGUUGGGUUAGACCUGCUGAAUCGUCUCUGCGCAUCUAAUCUGCAGUUCUGUGGCUGCUACUGAGAUGAGGUUUGUUUGUGAACCUGAACGCGGACCAUGUCCCAGCACUCGGCAGACAUCGUUCCCAGGGUGUCGAUCUGGCUCCUGUCACAGUACAACUUUGCCAUGAACGUGCUGGCUGGGUGAAAGGCCGAACUGGGCUGAGGGUGGUGCUCAAGGCUCUGGACCCCAUGGCUGGGCAGCUGCGUGGCCUCGCCAAGGAGCUGUCUGAUGAGAUCCAGAUCCAGGUGUUUGACAAGCUGGUGCUGCUCAACCCCGGAAUAGAAGCAGAACAAAUCUUAAUGGCACCCAGCUCCUUUAUGAAGCUCCAGACGAACAGGUGAGUGGUCCCUGGCCCAGAGGGGAGUCGUGGAGACCUUGCACCCAAGGUCCCUCCUCAGGUCCAGCACCAGUUCCAGCCAGCCGUCUCCGAUUUCCCAGCACGUGAUGGUCUCACCGUGGAGCCAGGCUGUGACGCUGCUCUGGGCAAUUUGCCAGGAGUUGAAAGUGAAAUGGACUUGCAGAGGGUGUUUGCCCUGUGGACAAGUCGGGUCUGCUGCGCGUUCAGCUCAUGGCAGCCGUCUGUCCGGAGCAGCAGAAGUUGUCAGGAGCCCAGCCUGGGGAUUGAUGCCAGGGUCCUGGCCUCUGUGGCUCCAAGUGGCCGCCAGGAGGGGGUGGCCUUCCUGAGCUGGGUCAUGGCUGUUCUCACCACCACCUACACCCAUGGGAAAGGAUGCAGAGUUCAGAGCGGAAAACCCCGGCCGGGUCAGAGUCCUCCUCUGCUGUCCCUGCCGUUCUGCCUGUGGGGGUGGAGGCUGCUCCCCUCCCGGCCUCCUCUCCUCACAUGGGGAUGAUGGGGCCUUGCCCUGCCUGCAUGGAGCAAGUGAGAGGCGGCCGGCGUGUCCUUAGUGAAUAGUCAAGGGCUGUCCCGUGGGCUGACUGUACCUCAAGCCUUUGGGGGCUGUUAUCAUAUCAUGGGAAAGGGGCUCGCUAGAUUGGACCUGAGUGUUGUUUCUAAGAUGACUGUUUUCAUGCUGCGUGACCUUGAGCAAGUCACUUAACUUCUCUGGACUUCAAUUUCCCCAUCUGUAAGGUGGGGACAGAGACGCCGGCCUAUCUACUUCCAGGGAUGAUGUGAAUCAAUGACAGUGGAAGAUCUUCAAAACUGCAAAGCCUUGUAUAAAUUUGAGAGGUUAGUAAUAUGUUCUUCUGCCCCCAAAGCUGGCCUUCCCCAAGGAGACAAUGCAGUGUUCUUGAACAUGCAGCGAAUUCCCCACACUGUGCCCUCCCCCUCUCCAGUAUUUCUGCCUUGGGUUGUUAAAAAUGAUACUCUUCUCUCAGGCCUGAAGUUAUGAGCCUGCUUUAUUGGUCAAAGGCCAUAAUAAUUUGAGCUCUUAUUUUAUAAACUCAUUUCUGCACAGUGAUAUCCUGAUAGGAGCAGGAAUAAUAAAUCACAAACAUGUCCCCCAAGAUUGCAUUGUAAAUGUCAAACUACACAGGAAAUUGUAAUUAAAGAAAGGAAAUUGCUACGAAGAAGCAGUUGAU